CCAUAGGAAAAUGACCGGAAAGCAUAAUUGUAAUGUAGGGCAAAAUGAAUGCGUAAUGUAUUUGGUCGGUCUACCAGCUGGGUUUCUAUUUUAAAAUAUGUCCAGAUUCAAUGAACUUGGAAUCCUCACUACCUUUUUCUCUCCUUCUACAGUCAUAAAUGACCCUAGUUUGAUUCUCCACUCACUCAUCACAUCUCAUCUGAAAUUGAAAACCAGAGUUUUAAAAUCAAAGUUUUCAGAAAUUGAAGAUCCUCUUAUGGCCUUUGUUUCCUCUGUUUUCUUCUUCCCCAUCCUCCGUCUCUUCCAUGAAGAACAAGGCGGGUAAAGCAUGCAGAAGCUUUGAGCCAAUAUGGAAGAGGUGUCGGUUGAAUCAACGGUCAUCUCUACCAUAUGUUCGAGACCAUUCUUCCUUAGACUAGCCAAACCCUAGUUUGUAAGAAAUGUUUGAUAUAUCUUGGCUGGUUCUUUGGUUGAUGAGUUCCCCUCAACAAACUUCAGAUUUUGUGUGACUUUUUUUCAUAAAUUUAUCUCUAUCAUUACAUAAUUAUGAUGAAAUAAUAGUUUAUGGAGUGAGAAAUUGUUAUGAAUUCUUAUUUCUAUUGUUCAAUUAUGAUCAAAUCUUGUGUAUGUUCA